GACAAGAAAUAACAAUACGGGGCUUAAAGUCUUGUAAUUGGAAUGAUGGGAAUUUAAACCUCUUCCAGAGUAUCAAUUGGAGGGCAAGUCUGGUGCCAGCAGCCGCGGUAAUUCCAGCUCCAAUAGCGUAUAUUAAAAUUGUUGCAGUUAAAAAGCUCGUAGUUGAAUUUCUGCUGCAUUGCUUGUGUCCCUCUGGGGUCUGUGCAUGUGGCUUUUUUCGGACGGAGUUUCUUUGUCUGAAUCUUUACUUUGAGAAAAUUAGAGUGCUCAAAGCAGGCUUUCGCCUUGAAUAGUUUAGCAUGGAAUAAUAAAGUAGGACUUUGGUUCUAUUUUGUUGGUUUUAGGUACCAAAGUAAUGGUUAAUAGGAACAGUUGGGGGCAUUCGUAUUUAACUGUCAGAGGUGAAAUUCUUAG
rnacentral:rRNA from 1 species